CGAUGAUGCCCAGCUUGCUGGGCGGAUUAGUGGCGAACGGGUGAGUAAUACGUGAGUAACCUGCCCUYGACUCUGGGAUAAGCCUGGGAAACUGGGUCUAAUACUGGAUACUACCUCUUACCGCAUGGUGGGUGGUGGAAAGGGUUUUACUGGUUUUGGAUGGGCUCACGGCCUAUCAGCUUGUUGGUGGGGUAAUGGCUCACCAAGGCGACGACGGGUAGCCGGCCUGAGAGGGUGACCGGCCACACUGGGACUGAGACACGGCCCAGACUCCUACGGGAGGCAGCAGUGGGGAAUAUUGCACAAUGGGCGGAAGCCUGAUGCAGCGACGCCGCGUGAGGGAUGACGGCCUUCGGGUUGUAAACCUCUUUCAGUAGGGAAGAAGCGAGAGUGACGGUACCUGCAGAAGAAGCGCCGGCUAACUACGUGCCAGCAGCCGCGGUAAUACGUAGGGCGCAAGCGUUGUCCGGAAUUAUUGGGCGUAAAGAGCUCGUAGGCGGUUUGUCGCGUCUGCUGUGAAAGCCCGGGGCUCAACCCCGGGUCUGCAGUGGGUACGGGCAGACUAGAGUGCAGUAGGGGAGACUGGAAUUCCUGGUGUAGCGGUGAAAUGCGCAGAUAUCAGGAGGAACACCGAUGGCGAAGGCAGGUCUCUGGGCUGUUACUGACGCUGAGGAGCGAAAGCAUGGGGAGCGAACAGGAUUAGAUACCCUGGUAGUCCAUGCCGUAAACGUUGGGCACUAGGUGUGGGGGACAUUCCACGUUUUCCGCGCCGUAGCUAACGCAUUAAGUGCCCCGCCUGGGGAGUACGGCCGCAAGGCUAAAACUCAAAGGAAUUGACGGGG
rnacentral:rRNA from 1 species